rnacentral:rRNA from 1 species
AGCGAACGCUGGCGGCAGGCCUAACACAUGCAAGUCGAACGAACCUUUCGGGGUUAGUGGCGGACGGGUGAGUAACACGUGGGAACGUGCCUUUAGGUUCGGAAUAACUCAGGGAAACUUGUGCUAAUACCGAAUGUGCCCUUCGGGGGAAAGAUUAAUCGCCUUUAGAGCGGCCCUCGUCUGAUUAGCUAGUUGGUUGAGGUAAUGGCUCACCACGGCGACGAUCAGUAGCUGGUCUGAGAGGAUGAUCAGCCACAUUGGGACUGAGACACGGCCCAAACUCCGACGGGAGGCAGCAGUGGGGAAUCUUGCGCAAUGGGCGAAAGCCUGACGCAGCCAUGCCGCGUGAAUGAUGAAGGUCUUAGGAUUGUAAAAUUCUUUCACCGGGGACGAUAAUGACGGUACCCGGAGAAGAAGCCCCGGCUAACUUCGUG